AUGGUGCAAAUGGCAGUGCUCAAGCAAAGAAUAUCUUGGCCCACAUUACACAAAGCGCAGCAAAUUCAGGUAGCACCCGUCAUGAAAUGGAACACGCCACUCGAGCUGCAUGCAAGCAAGAUCUACACGCGAGCCAUCUUCGAAAAGUUUGGAGAAGUCAUAUAUGAAGCAGGACAAUACAGGGUGGAGGAGAUUGGUAAAGGUAAAACAUAUGUGGCCAGACGAUACCAUCCAGAAAAGCAUGAGAAAUGGUGCAGGAUACUAUACAAAGUGGAAGUUGUUGAUGAAGGAGCAGAAAUCAUACGUGAGUGUGGCAACUUUGAACACACUGGACUCCUAUGUUGUCAUGCUGUCAAGGUACUUGAUUUCAUUGGCAUAGACCAUAUACCUGUGAAGCACAUUGUGAAACGCUGGACAAAGGAUGCAAGAGAUGUGCUGCCGGCCCACCUAUCAUACCUUCAGAGGGAUAGCAUUUCAGUAAAUUCAGUAACAUUCAGACAUGCAAAUCUGUACACACAUGCACUCGAAGUAGUGAGAUUAGGGUAUAGAAAUCCAGAAGCAUAUGAGUGCAUGAUGGAGAUGCUUAAGAUAACAAUGGAUAAAGUGACACCCAUUGCUGGUGUUCGUGAUGGCCUGGGACUGGAAGACCGGAAUCAACAACUUAAUAAUAAAGGUAAAGAAAUUAUACUAGCAAUAGAGCACCGAAGUGGCACCGCAAGUGAUGCAUAA
rnacentral:rRNA from 1 species